UUGUGUGUGAAAUCCACGUGCAAAUGGUGACGCAAAACUGUGUGAAAUUCAAUGUGGUAUGCACUUCAGGCGGCUAGCAGGCGGCUAGCGGUCGGCUAGCAAGACCACGCGCCGGCGUACAACUUUCACCGUCAAGCAGACUUUUGCGUUUUUACCGUUUACACGGUAAAAUUGUCAAUUUCAUUUCGAGACGGCUGCCGAGUGAGCGAGUGCUGCGAGAUCUCUGCUGGCUCAAUCCUUUUGCCUACUAAGCGUAUUAAGAUUUCCACUUAUCUUUCCAAGUAUUUGGUGCCAUUUGUCAUUGUUAUAUACGUGGUGAAUCAAGAAAGAGAUACUAAAGCGGCCUGUAGCUUCAAAUCUACGAACUCUGCGAUCUCACUCUUCGUUUUGUGCGAGUGGAAAAGCUGCCUUCACAAUGGGUGAACCAACGGGUGAGCUAACUUACUCUUCAAAUUAUUUUCAACAUGAUGCAGCAAAUGAAGCAUGACAUGAUCUCGCACAUUGACUCCAAAAUAGACUCACUUCAGAAAAUAUACCCCCAAACCGUGAGUUUUUUCCUUUAAAUUGCGCAUGCGUAGGCCCGCGGUUUCUUAUUGAGUGAGUGUGGGCGACGCUGGAUCCUCUCUCUGGCUGCCAUCGAACAGCAGAAGUGAAGUUUGAAUCUGUCGAUGGCGUCACCAUGGCGGAACACAUCAAGCCGACGGUAGGCCGUUGGGCACAGAUUUCAAAGUUACAAAUUAUACAUUAUUAAACAUAUAUAAGACUCAGGUUUCAGUAUUUGACCACUGUUUCUGAGAAACUUAUAGUGACGGUUAUGUAUUAAUUAAUUAAAGGAGUUAUGC